UAGAAAGACUCCCUAUUAGCACAGUGGG
rnacentral:piRNA from 1 species